GUAUGUAAGUCUCGUCAUGUGACUUGCGAGAUUUCACGAUAUUUUGCACUUCCGGGUACAAACAAAUAUCAACAACAUUGCUUAUCUAUAUUGGGUAAUACUUGUAUGCCGGUUGGAAAGUAAAACUUACAUGGAAAAGCAAAUGAUAUGUGGAAAUUGCCAGAGUUUUUUGUUUUGUAACGAAAUGCAAAUGGUUUCAUCUUGUGAACAAGUAUCAAUGAAAGACAACUUCGUAUAAUCUUCAGAUAUUUUGACUGAGGACAGUGGUGAGAUGAAAGACGUCAGUAUCCAUUGUAAAUACACAUGCAUGCUCUGCUGUUAAAUCGUUUUGGUAUGUGAUUUCAUGGUUGGAUCUUGAGUAACUGUCAUGGCUCUUGAUUUAUUUUGGAGUGUUCACCAUCAGAUUAGAAAUCAAAUAGUGAUACCACCAGGCAUAGUUGAAAGGAAAUGUCCAUACACAGUCUUGGAGUACAUAGAAGUAGAGACAUGGCAGUCCAUUACAGAUUUUGACUGACUUAAAGCUUCUUAAAGCUCCAUUUCUUGUGUAAACUGUCUGACUGAAUGUUUGUAUUCUAAUAAAAGCUAAGGUUGAAGACACUUCAAAGAUAUAUGUCAUUGUAAAAAUGUUUAACAAAAUAUCUGUCUUUGUUAGAAAUAACUAACCUGUCUUUAUUAGAAAUAAAUAACCUGUCAUUUGUAACUUUGUAUUAACUUUAUUAUUCAAAGAUAAUUUAUCUUCUGCAAAUGGCUGCGCAAAACAGUUUCAACCAGGUAUCAUGUAGUUUCAAAACAGUUUAAGAUAAAUUUGUUAUAAAUAGACUUGUAAAUUAACAGGAUUGGUAAAAAGAUAAAUGUUCAGCAUUUAAAUGUUUCUUUCUUGAUUGAGUUUCAUUUCAUAUUAUCACCAUGAUCACUGCAAUUGUAAAAGUAAUGUAAUCUUUAACCAUUAUUUAAAUAUCAUAAAAAUCAUCUCAAAGAAAAACUUGUUUCUGAGGCAAGAUGUGUAAAAUUCCUUCUAGUUAUAGCCUUUCACUGCUCUUAGAAAAGCCAUGAUUUGCAUUGUACAUGGCAGGUAGUAAUACCAGAGUAAACAAUAUUAAUGCAAUUCAUCUGUGUUGAGUAUUCUGUAGCAAAACACUAGCUUGCUAGCCCUUGUAAGCCCAAGUCUCUCUCUUAAUUGGAGAAGACUUGCAAUUCUGCAUUCCUUGAAGAUUUUAGUAUCAGAAGGGUAAUUAUUACAUACCAUGUACUUCUUUGGGUUUCAAAUUACCUGUUUUAUAAUGUAUUGAACCUGUUGACAUUUGACCAACAGUGAAUUAUCUAUACAAUACAUGCAAAACUUAGGGUUUGCACUUGAUACAAAACAAUUACAUCACUGAUACAUUAAUAUACCAAUUGGAACUGUUUCAAAAUUGUCAAUGUUUCAAAAAACAAAAAAAACAAACAACAACACACAAUGCUUUUAACUUUUGUCCAUGUACAUAUGGGUAUGUAGUCAUUGAAGAGCUGUCAAGAACUUUUCAUCAAUAUUAUUUAGAUAGUGUCUGUUUCGAUUUCAGGACAGACAAAAUUCAAAUGACAUGCAUAGUAUUUUAUAUAGUCAAUGCUUGCAUAUUCAAGCAAUCUAGCCAUUGCUGUUAGUUAU